GGGGUUGUGGCUCAGCGGUAGAGUACUCGCCUUUCUCAUGUGAGACCCUGGGUUUGAUCCUCAGCACCACA
rnacentral:tRNA from 1 species